CGAUAUGUUAAAGUCACGUAGAGCUGUACGAUGUGUUUAAAGUCACGUAGAGCCGUACGAUAUGUUCAAAGUCACGUUGAGCCGCACGAUAUGUUAAAGUCACGUAGUGCUGUACGAUGUGUUUAAAUCAUGUAGAGCCAUACGAUAUGUUCAAAGUCACGUAGAGCCGUACGAUGUGUUUAAAGUCACAUAGAGCUGUACGAUGUGUGGCUCAGAAAAUUAUUUACAGAAUACAUUUACACACUGAAGUAAAAACAAAAACAGUUAAUUAAAAGGAGUUGCAGAUCAAUUUGCACCAUGAGGUUUAAAACAUUUAAUUAGAACUAUCAUUAUAUCAACAGGAGUCCUCUUUGAAGAUGCUAUGGUGACCACUGAUGGUGGAGUCCUGAGAGAGAGAGAGAGAGAGAGAGAGAGAGGGAGACAGAGAGAGAGAGAGAGGGAGAUAGAGAGAGAGAGAGAGACAGAGAGACAGAGAGAGGGAGACA